rnacentral:piRNA from 1 species
UCGACUUGACUUGACAUAACU